rnacentral:rRNA from 1 species
GCUUGUCUCAAAGAUUAAGCCAUGCAUGUCUUAGUGUAAAUAACUCUUAUGAAACUGCGAAUGGCUCAUUAAAUCAGUUAUCGUUUAUUUGAUGGUCCCUUACUACAUGGAUAACCGUAGUAAUUCUAGAGCUAAUACAUGCGCAAAUUCCCGACUGCCGCAAGGCGGAAAGGAUGUAUUUAUUAGAUCCAACCAGCCCGGUUCGCCGGAGUCCCUGGUGAGUCAUAAUAACUCCUCGAAUCGCAUGGCCUUGCGCCGGCGAUGUUUCAUUCAAAUUUCUGCCCUAUCAAUUUGAUGGUAGGAUAGAGGCCUACCAUGGUGGUAACGGGUGACGGAGAAUUAGGGUUCGAUUCCGGAGAGGGAGCCUGAGAAACGGCUACCACAUCCAAGGAAGGCAGCAGG